GUGAAAAAUGACAUUGGUAUUUUGAUAGGGAUUGCAUUGGUCAUUUUAUGGUCAUUUUAGCAGUAUUAGUCCUUUCUAUCCAUGAGCAUGAGAUAUCUUUCCAUUUGUGUGUGGCCUCUUCAAUUUCUUUCAUCAUUGUUUUGUAGUUUUCCUUGUAGAGGUCUUUCACCUCCUUGGUUCAAUUCAUUUUCAGGUAUUUUUGGUACCUAUUUUAAAUAAGAUUGCCUUCUUGAUUUCUUUCUUAGCUAGUCCAUUAUUAGUUUAUAGAAAUGCUACUAAUUUUUGUGUGAUUUUGUGUAUCCUAUGGCUUUAGUGAAUUUAUCAGAUCUAAGUUUUUGGUGGAGUCUUUAGGUUUCUCUAGGUAUAAGAUCAUAUUGUCUGUAAAGAGGGAUAACUUGACUUUCUCUUUUCCAGUUUGGAUGCCCUUUCUUUCUGUUGCUCGAUUGCUCUGGCUAGGACUAGUAUUAUGUAAGUGUUCCAUUCAUUAAUUUGCUGAACUGUAGUGGGAAGACAACCCUUCCCCAAACUCCGUUCACUCCAUACCUAAACGGACCAAGCACAUGCUUAGGGCACUAAUGAAACAGGAACACCAAGAUAAUGAGUAAACUUCAGCUUUUGGUGAACUUGGAAUUUUAUAAUCAGAGAUAAUCUAGAAAUAAGCCUUUCUAACUUCAGCAUACAUUAAUAUUUUGGCUUCCCCAGGCCCACUUGCAUCAUGUACUUCUUUCUCAGAUAAACACUCGAGGGACCUGAUGAGACUGAAAACAUCAAACACAGCCUCUGGGACAAGGAAAGUCUUUAAGAACUUUAGGGGUAUAUUAUUCUCAUACUCAAACACAUCUGCAGACCACCAAAGAUACUUCUCCUCGCAUCACUGUGAUCCUCUGGGCACAUCAGUCACAAAGAACCAGGCAAGUUAGUCCAACACGUUCACAUUUCUCCAAGUUGAUGCAAUAUCUGUGUACAUACUCAUACUCAGCAUAUGAAGAAUGAAGAACAAUUAGCAAAUUCCUUGCCUGAAUGUAUAAUUUUUCUCUUCCUAAAGGCUUUAAGUCUUCUGAAAAUUAAUAGAAGCAAGAAGGUGACAAAACUCUAUGGACACUCUUGGGCUUAAAUCUUGCCAGUCAAGUGUUUGAUCACAGACAAGAACUGACCCUCUCUGUGCUCACCAAAUGUCAUGCAGAGACUCUAUGACCUACUACCUCCUUGUGUUCUUCCUGCCUCUCUAGCUGUUCAGUUCAGACUUCUUAGGAGGUUCUCAGAGAUACCUCAAACUGCACAAGUCCAGGGGGAGAAUCUAGAACCUUUUCUAUACUGUAGAGGCUUUCUUGAAUGCCUCUUUGUCCCCACUGUAGCUCUUUUUGUUUAAACUUGUCAGUUGAUCUCUUAUGGCAGCCUUGCCCACCUUUGAUUUAUCCCUUAUACCAAGGUUUCUCAAUUUCCACAGUCUUGACAUUUGGUACUAGAUAAUCCUUUGUUGUGGGGGCUGUUAUGUGCAUUGUGAGAUGCUGAGCAGUGUCCCUGGCCUCUACCAGGAGAUGCCAGUAGCAUCCCGAGUUGUGACAAUCAAAAAUGUCUCUAGACAUUGCCAAAUGUCCCUCGGGGCAAAACUGUCACCUAGCUGAGAACCACUUCUCAAUCUGACCCUGAAUUAUCUUUGAGAAACCAAUAUUUACUGCAGUAUACCCUUAAAUAGUUGAGGGCUCCCAUUGUCUAUGAAUAAACUCCCUGGCAUGACAUAUUUUGCCUUUAUUAUAUCAUCCAACACCCCCCACCAGCACAGGCAGUUAGGUACCUUAUCUGCUGCUGACAGUCUCGUCCAGGGUUUGUCUGCCCUCCUGUCAUAGUCCUGCGCUUUUGCUACUUCCACGUAAUCACUGAAUCGUAUCAGAAUUUUUCUGUCUCUUAAUUCAUCAACAGUGGGUCUCUGAUUAAGCUAAAAUUAAAGAUCAUCAUAGUUAAGUAUCACAUGCCAAACUAGCUUUUUUGAAGUACUCUGAACAAACAGCACUUCUCUUAAAAAACAAAACAAAACAAAAAAAACCUGAAACUGGAAAAUAUAACCCAAAUACAAGCAAUCUCUAAUGUGAAGGGCUGAAAUUAUAUACUGUACUCUUAAAUCACAAUCCCCCUUCCUCCAACAUAUUUUAUCAGAAGGAGUCACACCCCCAGUAGUACAUAGCACCAGCUCAAGGAAUGGUUAGUGAAUUAACUUAGAUUUUAUGGCAUCACUGGCUUCAGAUACAAUUAGAUAAGCUUUUUAAAAGUACUAAUAAAGUUAUUAUAUGUCCAGCUUAGGAAGGAUAUUCUGUUAAUUUCAAGAGAAUUAUUAUGGAGCAGCACAACGAAGAAGGGGAAUCCAGAACACUUGAAUUUAGAAAUGGUCAAGGCUUUAAAAGUAGAUUAAGAUUUAUAGAGUUGCUACCUGUAUUGGCCAUAGUAAAUGUUAACUGUUUGAGUCACAGAGAACAAACCUUUGAGUCUAAUAAAGCUUUCUGCAACUGAGGAACUUCUAGACAUAUUGGAGGUGAACAAAAGCGAUGAGUGUAAAAUGUGACUAAAACACUGAUACCCAGGUAUGCUUUUCCUAGACACUGUAAAUUAAGAAAAUGCCAAUCAACUUCUGGCUUCCACCUGAACAUAAGUAAAAAAUGUCAUGUGCAUUGUGCACCUCUCCAAGUGCUACCGUGCUAGGGAAGGACUUCGUCCAUAGGGAACGUCAGAGGGAGUUAAUUCAUUGUUGCUGAGCAAAUAUCCUGAUUUAACUGAUGCCAUGAUGUCCAGGAGAACAUUAUUCAUGAUCACAGAGUGAUACCUAGCAUUACCCAUCCCACCUGCUACCGAAGCAGCUGUUCUCUAGACCACCUUUUAUUAUUCAGGCAAUAAAAUGCUUAUACUACCUUUCUUGUCAAUCUUUGCUUGAUUUCUCUUCUUUCUUCCUGCUCUGUCUGAUCAUUCCUUUCUGUGAAAGAUUAAAAUAGGAAAAAAAAAAUAACAAAGAGAAACAGGUUGAAACGUUCUUCUCUUCAGCAGGGAAGUGUUCCCAAGAUAUCCAUAUUUCUGGGAGCUGAAGUUAAUUCCACAUCACUCAUGGUGUUUUCUUCCCACUUUGUCAGUCACUGCUCAGGAGAUCAUGGUCUCAUUACACAGAAAUACUUGUACUAAGCAAAGCUUUGCUGUCAUCCCAACCUGGUCUCCUCAGCCCUUCUGUGCAUUAGAAACAACCACAGAUAUGGCUGCUGUUUGUUUAAGGAAGUAGACACCUCUGUGUCUGUCUUUCUCCCCAAAUAUCUUUAUAUUUACAUCUAGCACUUAGAUGCCACAUAAAAAAAGCUGUAGUAGACUAAGUAAAUAAAUGUAUAUGUACAUUUCAAUAUAAAUAGCACUGCCACUAAUUUUUUUCCUUAAUAAGCGUACAGACUUUUUAACCAACAUAAAACAUGGAACACCUUCUUCAGCUCCUGGGCAGCAUAUGCUUGCCUGGAAUUUAUAUGUUCAGACUAUAUUUCAAAUCUUAACACAUCUAUGAACCUCGCUGACUCUCCAUUGCUGAAGCGUGAACACUGUUAUAUGACAGUGCCUUUUAAAGGAGCCCAAGUCCCUCAGCAAAAUUAGCUUUGCUUGACCCAGAACACCCUCUGCAUUAUACAAAGCAAGGGACCCAUAAUCAGGACUGCUAUACUCAUAUUUUCUGGAAAUAGCUCCAGCAGCUUGGACAGUUAUACCUGAGACUUCCAUGAAUAUCCAGAAAUGUAUUACUGCUUCUGAUGCAGUAGUUAAGAAGAUGGGCAAUGGAGUUAGGCAGACCUGGGGUUGAACUCUAGUGCUAUCCUUUUCCCAAUAUUCAUUUAUUAAAAAGUGCAAACCUCACAAAUAUGUUGCAAUGAUUAAAUGAGGGAAUAUAUACCAAGUACUGAAUAUAGUCCCUGGCACAGAUUGGGCCUAAUAAAGAAUUACCAUCACCAUAUAAAGGGACCCCUGCUCUUCUGCUUUUCUAUCCACGUUAUAGUGUUAUAUGGGCGGAGUUUUGAGUGCUCCUCAGAUAUGACUGCAGUUAGUCAUGAGUUCCCCCUUGAAGCAAAUACAAAAGUGAUAUUCUAAGAAUUGGUUACAAGAAGAAAAUACAAUACAGUAUGAGUGCUUGAAGUCCUGUGUAUCUAGAGCCUAUGAGUAUGAUGUUUCAUACUAGGCUAUAUAUAGUUACCCUAUUCUCAUCUCCACAGAACAAAAGUAAAACCAAACACCCACCACAAACCUAGCAGUAAAAUUCUCAGGUCCUUCCACUCAGGACACUAGAGAGGGCUUCCGAGCUAAGGACAAACCUACAUUCACUGAUGAAGGCACAGUGUUUAUGGCGGGAUUGCCAUGGCCACCGCAGAGGAAACCCAUUUUCCCUUUCAUGCACUGAAGGUAAGGGCAGUCAGUUUCAGUUAUGCAUUUGCUAGCUCCCUAUUCACCAAAGAUAGUUCUAUUUCUAAGGCUCUGAUAUUUAUUUCCAAAGAUUAACACAAUUAGAAGUACUUGCUGAUGGGAAGACCUGGUUGCCCACGAUAGGAAGGAAGAGGCUGCUACUGAAAGAAGACAUGGUUCCUGGGUUAAAGGUCUGGGCUGUAGUACUCUCUUCCUGUUGCUGACAGCAGGCUACUUGGAAUGUGGUGCUUCCUGUGUCUUGAACUUGCCUGGUUCAAGUCUGGACUGCUACUUUUAGUAGCAUCUGCAACUUACAAGCUUUAUAAAUAAGUGACUUAAUUUUUAAAAAUUCAAAUAUUUGGCAACUGAAACAGCUUGACUUUUCUGUCUGCCUACUUAAUUAAGCAUGUUAUCAAUGAAGAGCUUUUCUUUAAAUCCUCAGAGAUGGUAUAGUUAACAUAGAACAGUAGUCACUAUAUCUUAAGUUUAAAAAGUAAAAUGAAGAAGUCUUUAUCUGAGGGUUAUUUUCAACAAUCUAUAAAGGAGGGGAUUGUUUUAGGCAGUUAAUGAAGGCACUGAGGCAAAGAAAGGAGGGAGGAAUCAAUUCAAGUUCAGUACCCAGACCAACAAGGGGCUCUGCGGUAUUUUCUGACAGAAAGUCAGCUUGGUACCAUUAUAACUUCAUAAAAAGAUGUUCACAAAUAAGAAAACAAACUCAGAGAAAGUCUGCAGUAUUCAUCACAUAAAGAGAAAAAAAGUCCUUUAAAAAUCCAAGCCAUUAGAAGACACUUUCUGUGGAAAAUGUUUUAAAAACUGAAAAUGACUAGAUAAAGAACUAUUGGAGAAACACUUUUUCAAGAGGUUUGGCCACCCCUAAAUCACUGACUUUAUGGAAUAUUUAAUGGAAUAUAGUGCCCUAGAGCAUGGAGGUUACUCAUGAACACCUAUGCUCAGCAUAUGCUAUAAUUGUCCACCUAACGGGAAAUGCAAGGGGUUGCAAGGCUGGGAGCAACAGAGGGUCCUGGAACCUCAAAGUCCUGAGCCACAGGAAAGCUUCUCAUGGCUUCACCGUUUCCCUGAGCUGACUGCUUUAUUCCUCCCAAGUGUAACAGGCAAGGGGCGUGUCCUUCUCUAGUGUGUUCAUGCGGUUCAUGCUUUGUGAUUUCUAUAGCCAUGAAGAACCCCGACCCAAACUGCCAGGAAGACCUGCUUGAAACCUAACGCACUUAGACAUAUGGGACUAACCCUGAAAAUAAAAACAUCUUUAUGCUAAGAGGAAAGGAGUUUUUUUAAAUUAAAAAAAAUGUUUCUAGGUAUAUCAGCUUUCCUUUGGGGCUUGCUUUCAGAAUUCAGCAGCAGCUCAGGUUUACUGGGAGCAUGGAGCAUUCCGCUUGCAGAGAAGGGCUGGGUUAUGGGAACUCAGGAUUUGUGCAACAGCCUCACCACACGUGAAGGAAAACCUCUAGAGGAAUCACCAGCUACUCACGUUUCAAGAUAUUUCUUCUCUCCAGCUCUUCCACGGCAGGUCUUUGGCUCAGCCGUCUGCGGAAAAACACUAAAAUUACAUUUUGCACCAUAGUGG
rnacentral:lncRNA from 1 species